AUCUGUCUGCAUCCUUUUCCUCUUCCCCAGGCUUGCUCUGAACUACCUCCAAAUCCUGUGCUGCCCUACAGUCACCCAGGACAUUGCCAUGGUCACCUUGCUGAGCUUCAGGGGAGCAUUCUCCUCUGUGAUUCCGGAGAGGUCAGCCCCAUUGUUGAAGAUCCGGGUGAUGCCCAGUGGACUCAUGAGUGUCUUCAAGUUAUAGUUUCCAGAGAGGGACAAUCUGGGUAAGUGGACCUGGGCUAACCUGGUGGGUAGGAACUUAGAGAUGAGCUCCUUGUUGAGAGUUUGCUCCAGAUGCUGCAUCUUGCCAUCAUCGGGCAGGAGGAAGACAGCAGUGGCGUUGCCCAGGUAAUCCAUCAGCAGCACCCAGCUGGACAGCGUGCUGCAAUGGUGCACGUCAAGCAUGCCCGUGAGGGUCAUCAUGGGCACCUUCACCGUGGUGGACUCGUCCACGUGGAAUUCAGCUUCCUCAGUGUGCUUAGGAUCGAAUGGCUUCUUCCAUUUGCCUGAAGAGGGGAGAGUGAGAGCAGACCUUAGCCAAUGAGGUGGUGACACAGCCCAUUGACUUUUCAUGUGCACAGGGGGUCACUACUAGCCUUCUAGGCUGCCCAGGCACUUUGGUGAGGGUAACUCAGGACUCAAGGAGGACUUAGACUUUCCAGACCACAGAAGCUGAGAGCUACCAUCCCCAUUGUGCCUAGAAAAUAUCUUAUAUAAUUGUUAUAUACUUAUAGAAAGGUGACUUGGGGUUAUAAAUGGAAUUCCUGACAAUUCUAUUUGUUAGCUUCUUAUCAGGAGUGGCACAUUCAUUGGCAAUUCAGUCAUCACUCAGGACAAAUGUUUUUUGGCACCUCAAGCCCCUUUCUACAUUCAAGAAUUCAGUGAAGAAGUCUAUCUGCUGUAUAAGACCACCACCAUCAAGAAUACUGGAGUAGGUGGGGACUUUGGGGAACCACCAACAAGAACCCAUCAGAAUGGCUUAGAGUCUCAGAGACAUAUCAACAAGGCCACUAGAGUGGGAGAGGCUCCAGGGAACCGGUCACCAAGGUCAUUGGAGUGGACACAGGUCUCAGCGACCCAUCUCUGAAGCUGUCAGAGUGAGCUGGGUUCUCAGAGACCCAAGAUCAAGGCUGUCAGCAAGAGAAGGACAGCAGGAAUCCUAACUUCACCUUCCUUUUGGAUAGGAAUUGGUGAAGGGGUUGGGGUGGAGUUGACACCUACACUUGUCACAGAAGUGCUGGGACUUGAGCUGUGCGGGCCUGAUAGUCUCCUCCACAGGACUCUGUUGGUGGCAAGGGGGUCAUGAAGGCCAGAGUAGCUUCUGCUUUUGACUCCAAUCUCUGGAGAGUCUUGACCUAAUGACUUCCAGGCUGGAGGCCCUGCUUGGGAUGUUAGUUGAUCAGGUGCUUAUGUCCUGUGCACUGGGUAACCUCUCUAAUUCUUUCAUCCCCACACAGCAGUCAGCUAACUAGAUUUGAGCCAAUGUUUCCAGAGGUCAUAAUGGUGGUAUGCAACAGAGGGGCUGAUCAAGUACACUCCAUGGAAUGACACUCUCUUCAGACCAUCACAACCAGGACAGUUGGUUCUGAAGCUAGGGAAGGACUGCACAUUCUACAACUCUCCUUUGUAGGGGAGGUGAACAUUAGGACAACCAAGGCCCCAAUCAGUCCUUCAAAGAAGUCAGUGGACUUGGUGUUUGAAGCCAAUUCCUAAGCUUAAUUGAUAAUUUGAAAGAUGUCAGAGUUUACACAUCAUAGAGUAGGGAACAUGAUGGGGCAAUACCACAGCAUGGCGUGAGAGCUCAGAAACUGGUCCUCGAGAAUAUGUAUGGGUGUCUCCAUGGACGCCAAGUCAAGCUGGUUCUGCCAUCUUACCUUUAAAGAGAAUGUAAUUCGCCA
rnacentral:lncRNA from 1 species